rnacentral:rRNA from 1 species
CAGCGCCACAAGUGGGAAUCGCUUUUAUUGGGCCUAAAGCGUCCGUAGCCGGUCUAGUAAAUCUCUUGUGAAAUCGUUCGGCUCAACCGAGCGGCGUGCAGGAGACACUGCCAGACUAGGGACCGGGAGGGGUCAGAUGUAUUCUGGGGGGAGCGGUAAAAUGCUAUAAUCCUCAGAGGACAACCGGUGGCGAAGGCGUCUGACCAGAACGGAUCCGACGGUGAGGGACGAAAGCCAGGGGAGCAAUCCGGAUUAGAUACCCGCGUAGUCC